CUUGUACUCCCUCCGUCCGAAAAUACUUGUCAUUGAAAUGGAUGUAUCUAGAUGUAUUUUAGUUCUAGACACAUCCAUUUUGAUGACAAGUAAUUCCGG
rnacentral:pre_miRNA from 1 species